CCCAGACAGCCAGGAUGUUGGCUUAGAAGCAGCCAUCAUUUAAAGAAAGCGUAAUAGCUCACUGGUCGAGUCGGCCUGCGCGGAAGAUGUAACGGGGCUAAACCAUGCACCGAAGCUGCGGCAGCGACGCUUAUGCGUUGUUGGGUAGGGGAGCGUUCUGUAAGCCUGUGAAGGUGGCCUGUGAGGGUUGCUGGAGGUAUCAGAAGUGCGAAUGCUGACAUAAGUAACGAUAAAGCGGGUGAAAAGCCCGCUCGCCGGAAGACCAAGGGUUCCUGUCCAACGUUAAUCGGGGCAGG
rnacentral:rRNA from 2 species